rnacentral:lncRNA from 1 species
UGGUUUCUUGAGGAAUUUGGGAGAUGGGUUUUUGUUUUCUUGCAGAGAAAAAAUAGAAAUGGAAGAUGAUUAUGAUGAUGAAGAUGAGAAAAUGGGGUUGGGUUUGAGGGAUUCUAUUGCAGAAACAUAGUACGAAAUGGAGUUUGGUGAGUGGUUUCUUGAGGGGUUUGGGAGAUGGGUUUUGAUUUUCUUGGAGAUAAAAACAGAAAUGGAAGAUGAUUACGAUGAUUAUGAUGAUGAUGAAGAAGGU